UUCCGGUUGAUCCUGCCAGAGGCCACUGCUAUUGGAAUACGACUAAGCCAUGCGAGUCAAGGGGCUCUUCGGAGCACCGGCGUACGGCUCAGUAACAUGUGGGUAACCUACCCUCAGGUGGGAGAUAACCUCGGGAAACUGAGGCUAAUAUCCCAUAGAUAAAAGAUACUGGAAUGUUUUUUUAUCGAAAACUCUUGUGCCUGAGGAUGGGCCUGCAUCCGAUUAGGUUGUUGGUGAGGUAAUGGCUCACCAAGCCUACGAUGGGUACGGGUCGUGAGAGCGAUAGCCCGGAGAUGGGGACUGAGACAAGGCCCCAGGCCCUACGGGGCGCAGCAGGCGCGAAAUCUCUCCAAUGUGUGAAAACAUGAGAGGGGUAUUCCAAGUGCCCUUGUUAUGCAAGGGAUUUUCUUUGGUCCAAGACGCCGAAGGAAUAAGAGCUGGGUAAGACCGGUGCCAGCCGCCGCGGUAACACCGGCAGCUCGAGUGGUGGCCACUAUUAUUGGGCCUAAAGCGUUCGUAGCCGGGCAGGUAAGUGCUUUGGUAAAUCCCAUAACUUAAUUAUGGGGCUUCAGAACAUACUGCCUGCCUUGAGACCGGGAGAGGCUGGAGGUACUUUCGGGGUAGGGGUAAAAUCCUAUAAUCCCGAAGGGACCACCGGUGGCGAAGGCGUCCAGCCAGAACGGGUCUGACGGUGAGGGACGAAACCCAGGGGAGCGAGUCGGAUUAGAUACCCGGGUAGUCCUGGGCGUAAAUGAUGUGGGCUAGGUGCAAAGCUACCUAAGUGGUAGCUUGGUGCCGAUGGGAAGCCGUUAAGCCCACCGCCUGGGGAGUACGGUCGCAAGGCUGAAACUUAAAGGGAAUUGGCGGGUGAGCACCACAAGGGGUGGAGGCUGCGGUUUAAUUGGAUUCAACGCCGGGGAAACUCACCGGGGGCGACAGCAGUAUGAAGGUCAGGCUGAUGACCUUACCAGACAAGCUGAGAGGAGGUGCAUGGCCGUCGUCAGCUCGUACCGUGAGGCGUCCUGUUAAGUCAGGUAACGAGCGAGACCCUCGCCCACAGUUGCCAGCAGAUCGUUUUAGAUGCUGGGGACUCUGUGGGGACCGCUGGUGCUAAAUCAGAGGAAGGAGAGGACGACGGUAGGUCAGUAUGCCCCAAAUCUCCCGGGCUACACGCGGCCUACAAUGGGCGAAACAAUUGGUUCCGACCCAGAGAUGGGAAGGUAAUCCCCUAAAUUCGCUCUAAGUUCGGAUCGAGGGCUGUAACUCGCCCUCGUGAAGCUGAAAUCCCUAGUAAUCGCGUGUCAUCAUCACGCGAUGAAUGUGUCCCUGCUCGUUGCACACACCGCCCGUCAAGCCACCUGAGUGAGGUUCAGAUGAGGCCUUGUCCCUCGGGUAAGGUCGAAUCUGAGUUUCGCAAGGGGGGCUAAGUCGUAACAAGGUAGCC
rnacentral:rRNA from 1 species